AGCUUUUAGUCCUGGGGUAGCAUGUGGUGGGAACAGAGCAAGAGACUGCUGGGUUAGGUGUUCCUCCAUGGUGGGGGCACACUGGUGGCACACAGGUCUGUCAGCAGCCCUAGAGCCUGCAGACAAAUUCUCCCAUGGGUGUGAGAAGGUGGGGAGGAAACCCUCCCCUGCACUUGCACCACCCAGUGGGCAGUUUCCUUUCCUGUCCUCAUGUUCCUUAUCAAAAGGGUGCUCCCAGUUCUGGUGGUAGAGGUAACAUUUCCAUUCUGCACCUGCACGUGCUCUCGGAUCCUUGUGUAGAAGUCACGUGGUAGCACAUCCACGGGCAUGUUUCUCUAUCCCUGCCCACAUGCCACCUCACACCUGCUUUCCUGGGACACUCGCACUUGCCCAGGGGCCUCCAUGGCUUCAAGGAUGCUAGAAGGCUGUGGGAAGGGCUGCUAGGCUGCAGCACACCUGCUCUCAUGGCUCGCUGACCUGGCUUCAGGUGCCCAAGCCCAGGACAGAGCCUGGGGCAGCAGGGCAGGGGGCUACUGGUCCUCUCAGAUCCCGGUGUUCUGGCUGCACAGUACAGCCCUGCCCAAGACCCCGGCCAUACCCCCCAUCCCAUAACCUUCUCUCAGGCCUCCAGAGGCCCCUCCCUGCGGGUCUUUUUGGGGUACAGCGCCAAUCCUGGUGGGUUCCCUCUGCCUGCACCACCACGUUGUUCUUCUCACACAGACUAGGGGUAUGUUGACAAGUUCCUUUACCUCUAAUCUUGUGUUUCAUUUUCAGAAAGUGUUUGGAGUUGUGACGUUUAAAUGUCCAUCAAGAACCUAGGGUCAUUCCAGACACAAGACAGUCACUAGAUAUGUGGGGUCUCCCACAGGCCCAGCAUACCCCGCAGGCACUCCCCAUGUAGGAUGAACUGGAGAAGGUGGGGUGCAUCGCCAGCUUCCUCCAGUGUGACCUCAUUCUACGGCAAUAUGGCCUGUGGAGGCUGACAAGGAGCAAGGAAAUGGGCGGUAAUCAGCAGAGGCCUUCCUGUCAUUACCGUGCGACAUUAUUUUGAGUAUGUGGAAGACUCUGAUGAAUAGAUCGACAAUCUGCUUGUAAUUUCUCUCUUCUUUUGUGAUGCUCUUCCUGAAGGACCUGGUCUCAUCAAGGCAGAUGAGGUCCUUGGGUCAUCAAUGUCUAUAAAAUCUCUCCAGCCCUGAUCACGCAUUUUCUUAGCAUUGACCUUGUUUCUGACCACCAGUCUACAGUGAGACACUAAAAUUACAAAUGAUCCAUAGGCAUCACAUGUAAAGAUAGGUCCCUCGAUCAGCAGCAAUCGAUCGAAGAACCAACCCAGUAUCAACAGUUUUCAGCCCAGAAGAGCUUCCAUGUCGGUCUCCUUUCCCAACUUACUACCAAUAAGAGAAACCCAAAUAUAUACCGCCUGACAACAACAGAGGAUGCCCUACACCUGGACUGCUCACUACAGCUUCCCCCCGCCGAUGGCCUCUAAUCAGAGCAGAGUUCAUCAUGGAGUCCUCUCAAGACCCAGCGUGAGCUGCCCAUUGCUGCAGACCCCAGCCCUCAGGCGAAUGUGUCCCCACCAAGGCCCCCCGUGCCUUGCAGCUGGCAGCUUUCCGAGGCUGGGUUGAUGUGGUGUUUGACCUCCUUGGUGUGAUCCGGACAUUCUUUCAGCUGUCUUUGGUGUUACAGCUUUGUGUUGUGCUGGGCAAAGGUGUGUCAUGAUGAGAAUCAGAGGGUAGAAUGAGGAAUGGGCCUUAUGAGUCUUGUUUGAGCUGGCCUCUGGGACCAGUGAGUUUGACUGACAUCUACCUGGAUGAACUUGGCUGAAGGCCACCGAUCAAACCAUCUGUCCAGGUCUUCUCCCAUCUAGAUCCUGUAUCCUGAGAGAGAAUUCUAUCUGGUUUUCACUGACUGAGGAGAUUGUAGAGUCUGUGUUCAGAGGCAGCCAACUGUCAUUUUGGGGCCCCAAGACAUGAGGUGCAUAAAUGUUACAUUUCUACCAACCAUCCCCAGCUCUCUUGGGGUUAUCUAAACCUAAGUCCUCUCCUCUGGCAGGAAAAAUCCCUACUUCUCCCAUGUAUGCACUGCAGUCCUAAUUCUUGUGCCCUUUGUAAAUGGCACCUUCACCAAGGAUGAUUUGGAUCUUCAGUGCCAACUCUGGAGAAUGCUUGAUUUUGUCAAAAUGUUCGUUUGAGAGGUACCUUGGAAAAGUAGAGAAAUAAGAUUGCAUGUGUCCAAUGAGCAGCACAUUUUUUAUUGAUAUGCUGGGGUCUCCAAAAGAAAUUGUUUUUCUUUU